GGUUAAGCGACUAAGCGUACACGGUGGAUGCCUAGGCAAUCAGAGGCGAUGAAGGACGUGCUAAUCUGCGAUAAGCGUCGGUAAGGUGAUAUGAACCGUUACAACCGACGAUUUCCGAAUGGGGAAACCCAGUGCAAUCCGUUGCACUAUCGUUUGAUGAAUACAUAGUCAAACGAAGCGAACCGGGGGAACUGAAACAUCUCAGUACCCCGAGGAAAAGAAAUCAACCGAGAUUCCCCUAGUAGCGGCGAGCGAACGGGGAGCAGCCCAGAGUCUUAAUCAGCAUUAGCAUCAGGAGAACGGUCUGGAAAGUCCGGCAGUAAAGGGUGAUAGCCCCGUAUCCGAAGGUGUUAGUGUUGUGAACUCGACGAGUAGGGCGGGACACGUGUUAUCCUGUCUGAAUAUGGGGGGACCAUCCUCCAAGGCUAAAUACUCCUGAUUGACCGAUAGUGAACCAGUACCGUGAGGGAAAGGCGAAAAGAACCCCGGCGAGGGGAGUGAAAUAGAACCUGAAACCGUGUACGUACAAGCAGUGGGAGCCCCAUCACUCAAGUGCCUCGGCAAUUGAGUGAUGGCUUAACAACCACCACAAGAGCAGCGCAGAAUUUGCUAACAAGAUUGGUCGAUUUUUUCAAGCCGUCGCGCAGUGUACAUAGAAGUACACGAGCAACGGAAGUUAAAAAAUCGGGCAAGAUUGGCCGCAAAGACAAGCGGGACAUUUGAGGAUGGGGUGACUGCGUACCUUUUGUAUAAUGGGUCAGCGACUUAUAUUCUGUAGCAAGGUUAACCGAAUAGGGGAGCCGUAGGGAAACCGAGUCUUAACUGGGCGAAUGAGUUGCAGGGUAUAGACCCGAAACCCGGUGAUCUAGCCAUGGGCAGGUUGAAGGUUGGGUAACACUAACUGGAGGACCGAACCGACUAAUGUUGAAAAAUUAGCGGAUGACUUGUGGCUGGGGGUGAAAGGCCAAUCAAACCGGGAGAUAGCUGGUUCUCCCCGAAAGCUAUUUAGGUAGCGCCUCGUGAACUCAUCUUCGGGGGUAGAGCACUGUUUCGACUAGGGGGUCAUCCCGACUUACCAACUCGAUGCAAACUACGAAUACCGAAGAAUGUUAUCACGGGAGACACACGGCGGGUGCUAACGUUCGUCGUGAAGAGGGAAACAACCCAGACCGCCAGCUAAGGUCCCAAAGUCAUAGUUAAGUGGGAAACGAAGUGGGAAGGCUCAGACAGCCAGGAUGUUGGCUUAGAAGCAGCCAUCAUUUAAAGAAAGCGUAAUAGCUCACUGGUCGAGUCGGCCUGCGCGGAAGAUGUAACGGGGCUAAACUAU
rnacentral:rRNA from 1 species